UGGGGAAUACUGCCCAAUGGGCGCAAGCCUGAUGCAGCGACGCCGCGUGGGGGCUGACGGCCUUCGGGUUGUAAACUCCUUUCGCUAGGGACGAAGCGCAAGUGACGGUACCUGGAGAAGAAGCACCGGCUAACUACGUGCCAGCAGCCGCGGUAAUACGUAGGGUGCGAGCGUUGUCCGGAAUUACUGGGCGUAAAGAGCUCGUAGGUGGUUUGUCGCGUCGUUUGUGUAAGCCCGCAGCUUAACUGCGGGACUGCAGGCGAUACGGGCAUAACUUGAGUGCUGUAGGGGAGACUGGAAUUCCUGGUGUAGCGGUGGAAUGCGCAGAUAUCAGGAGGAACACCGAUGGCGAAGGCAGGUCUCUGGGCAGUAACUGACGCUGAGGAGCGAAAGCAUGGGUAGCGAACAG
rnacentral:rRNA from 1 species